rnacentral:rRNA from 1 species
CAAUAGCGUAUAUUAAAGUUGUUGCAGUUAAAACGCUCGUAGUUGAACAUCUGCCCUUUUCCGGUUAGGUCCGCUCUGCGUGCACCUUCCGAAAUCGGCAUCCGUCUGCGUUGCUUCGCAUUGCAGACCGUUCACUUUGAGGAAAUUAGAGUGUUCAAAGCAGGCUUACGCCUUGAAUACUUCAGCAUGGAAUGAUUGAUAGGACUUCUAUCCUAUCUUGGUUCUAGGGACAGAAGUAAUGGUAAACAGGGUUGGUUGGGGGCAUUCGUACUGAACAGUCAGAGGUGAAAUUCCUAGAUUUGUUCAAGACGAACAACUGCGAAAGCAUUUGCCAAGGACGACCCCAUUAA